rnacentral:lncRNA from 14 species
CUCCUACCAUAAACUUCAGAAUCAAAAUAAAACUAAAUACCAUAACACAUAAAACAGAAAGUCUCCAUAUUAGAAUAGAGAUGGCCUACUUGGUCCAGUCAUCCUAGGAGACUGCAGACAUGGCCUGGCCCUUUUAGGCCCAGCCCCCAUUGCUGGCACUGAUGUCAUCUGGCUGACUUCACAACAGCACCCUUAGAGAUGGACUCUAGAUCAAUGAAAGCAUCUACCAUGCCAGACAUGUGUGCCCUACUCCAGGCCUGCUGUGGAGCCAGGGUUCAGGCUCAGUGCCGGGCCAUCUGUCAUCGGGCACUGCUGUUAGCUGUUGUGCUGAUGAACAAGAGGAUGUGUUAGUUCAUAAGGCGACAGCGACAGUACUUCAAGGCUGUGUCUACCUCAAGCUCAGGGUGAUAGUCUACAGAGUGACACUGGUCCAACAAGCCUUGGAGCUCAAAAGCCUUUAUCUGACAUUCCCAGGCUUCAGUUGUUCUCACGGAAACUGCAUUCUAACAUCUUUCUGUGAAUGGCAUUACACUCAUAAAGACAAUAUGAAUAAACU